rnacentral:lncRNA from 1 species
UACAGCCGCUGCGCAGUUGCCGACUGUUACUGGGUCUGAUUUAUGCUACAUGCGCGUUGCUUGACUGAAAAAUCCACCGGUGUACUGCGAAGCAGCUGGAGUGAAGCAGCCGCGCGCUUCUACAUGUGGAAAAUACAAGAAAUCUAAAGUUAAGCUGAUUUGCACAGCUCUGCAAUAAGUUUGUUGGUACACGAGAACCUAUGUGGACAUGGAAUACAACUGGAGGUGAAAGCAUUUUGUGCAAAGUGGACCAGAUGAAGAGUUUCACGCAAGGGUCUAUUUUCUUCACAAGAAAACAUUACACUUACAAAAUAUUGCAUCCGAUCCUAAAGAACUACGAAGGUAUAUUUCGAACGCAACAACACAACAUCAUGCGUCUCCGCAAAGCGGGCUAUAAAAACCACCCGCCGUAUUACGACCUUCGUGUUUGGAAGUCCAGAGUAACGCUCUAGCCUCACGAAAAAUGUACAAGACAUUUCGAGAAGCUUGGUAAAACAGGACGCGUCAUUUACGAAUCGAGGUGUCAAGGCAUCCUGAAUACAUAAUUCCAAGUGAAAUUUUUGAAUUCCUAUAACGACGCUCACAUUCAUUAAGUGCACUACAGCCCAUCUGAUCAUUACUUUAGAAAUAAAAUUAAAGU